AAGAGAGUGAGAGAAUUUGGCAUAGAGGAAGAGGAAGAAGGAAAGAGGGGGAGAGAGAGAGAGAGAGAGAGAGAGAGAGAGAGAGAGAGAGAGAGAUUAUGAAUCACAGGAGAGAGUACUAUUUCUUCUCCAGCAAGCCAAUUUCUUUUGAAGUCAGGCCUGUAAGAGGAGCUAUGAGCCUGAAAAAAACGGGAAAGCUGGAAAGCUGUGUCUGUGGCUGCUGCUGAGCUGAGGAGCACCCCCUCAAAGGCAAAUGGGGAAUGGGGUGGAGAAUUCUGAAAUGGGGACUGGGAAGGGUGGCAAUAUUUGGAAGGUAACUAAAAAAAUAAUGUUUUUUUAAAAAAACAUUUAAUACCUGCUGUUCUGAAGAUGAUCAAAACAACUAUGCAUGUAGAAGUUAUAGGAUCUAGGGAGAACCUAUUGAUGUUACUUUUCUAAGUGGUUAUGUUGGCAAACUGCCAUCUCCAUGGUGAUUUUUAUGUCUAUAGAUUUGUAUUCCCCCUCCCACUUUUGGUCAGAGCUACAUCCUAUUACAGUGGUUAGUGGUUAAUGCAGAGGCUCAUUACUGUUCACAGAAUCACUGCUCACAGAAUAAAGCAAUGGUAAAUGAUCAGCUGUAUGUGAGUCAUCUAUAUCAACUUUCUUUCCCCAGGGCUCAGAGAUCAAAAAUAUCGAAAUUUGGACUCAAACAAUGUAGAAGCUGGAGAAUGUGGAGAAGUAUUGUGUAAUACUGUCAUCUGGACAGGGCUUGGACAUUAGAAAAUGGCUUCAGAGUAGCUGUGGCUAUCCACACAAGACCUGCAGAAGCUGAGCUGGUUAAAAGUCCAACAUGAAGGGGCAAGUGAAAUCAUUAGCAGUUGACUGCUACUGAGUUCAGAAGAGUUACUUUGUUUUUUGUUUGUUUGUUUGUUUGAGAGUGUCAUAGCCAGUAGGUUCACCAUAGUCCCACAGAUGACCCGAUAUGACGGGCAUAUGAGCAGCACUCACUGGAUACAGUGGGUUAAGUUUGUUGAAGCCAUAUCCAUGAUUACAAAAGGAGAACAUGACCUUGGGAGGAAGAUGAGAUGUUUUCUGGG
rnacentral:lncRNA from 1 species